GGCAUAAGUUUCAAGUUUCUUAUUUGAUUCUUUAAUAAAAAUUUAAAACAUGCUCCUUGUAGAUCGAAGGAUGUUUUAAAUACGAAACUAAUCUCUCUGACUCCCAAAAACCAAUUACUUCGUUAAGUCCGAUAUUAAAAAAAUUCUUCAAUUUUGGAAAAUAAAUGGAAAAUAAAUACUUAUGGACUCCACUGUAGACAGAAUAAAUCAAGUAGGAAGAAGAAAAUAUGGAAGCAGAAAGGAGAAAAGGAAUCAAAAUAUUCUCUUGCCGAGAAUAUUUCUAAGUUAAUUCGAUGAAGAUUUGCGAGAAGCAGGACAGUGGAUGGACAGGAAGAGGCUAGUCACGAUGGUGGCACGGAAGGUUGAGACGAGUUCGUUCACGAGUUCUUCCAUUCGUCCUCGACCGGAUCGUUGCAUCCAUAAUGCAAUGACAGUCGGGAACGCCACCCAAGGAAGGGAAAAGGCAGAGAGCUCUUCUGCUCGCGGAGGUGGUUCGGUGUAACGGAAAGCCUGUGUCACCGUUACAGAACACUACGGAGAUGGCGGGGAAGCGAGCGAGCGGACAGCGGGUAGGAACGGGGGACGGAAAAGAGGAGGAAGAGGAAAAAAGAUGAAACGGGGCCGUCUCCGCAAAGGGAGCGAGCGCACGAGAAAUCGUAUAGGAGCAGUCCGCGAUGUUACAUACUACCUUGUAUACCGUUCGACUCUCGUGAAACCUCCGCCAGAAGACGUCGCGUCGUUAAGUGGCGAACGGGUUAGAAAGAGACGGUGAGAACGAUGGAUGAGGAAUGACCGCGAGAAGAGUAGACGAUUGGCGGGAAACAAAAAUGAACUUUAAGACUCUAGAUUAAGGGAGCGUAAUUCAUCGCACGAAACAGAUGGGACGAAUAUUCUUAGGGCCACACGAGCAUCAAUUUGACGGAUGUUUGGCAGAACCGUCUCACGAGGACGCGCGUGUCACGUUCUCCGGCGAGAAUUUUCUUGACCAGUUGUUCGAGCGAGAGAUUAUUCUCCCCGGCGCAUAUGCCAGGUAAACAACGGACCAAGGAGAGUAUCCUCUUUGCCUGGAGUCGAGGGCCACGAUACAUAAAUUUUGCGAUAACGCUUGCAUAUAUUCAAGAGCGCUUUGACCGAACGUUCUCGAAAGCUCGUUCGGAAGUCAGCCACCAAAUUAUUGUGUCUUGCAAUUGCGAUCUAAAGUCAUUAGGUGCUCUGAAAGUCUCGAAGUAUAGCCAGGAAACACUGAACAGGCCCUUUUUCUUAAGUUAUGGGAGAUAGACAAACACAUUUUUUUGACAGGAUGACAAGAUUUACCUCUGAGAUAAUCAAUUAUGAAGGAACUUGAAAAAUUCUAUCAAAUGAUGCAAAUCAAUAAAUAGUCCCAUUUGAAAAAACGAACUUGACCAUCUCAUUAAAUAACAAUGAAAAAAAGAAAUUCGUUUCCAUCGAAAGGUAAGCCGCCUUGAACCGUGCAAGUUUUGUAUAAAAAAAUUCCCAUCUCUUCCACAACUUAGGAAAUAAAGGACUAUCUACUUUACUGUUUCGUGGGACACAUGUACAUAAUUUACUGCAGAGUAAAAAUGGUAACUUUCCUUAUCAAUAUGAAAAUAGGAUGCCGACGAAAAAGUUGAAAUAAGU